rnacentral:rRNA from 1 species
GGGUUGUGAGGUUAAGCGACUAAGCGUACACGGUGGAUGCCCUGGCAGUCAGAGGCGAUGAAGGACGUGCUAAUCUGCGAUAAGCGUCGGUAAGGUGAUAUGAACCGUUAUAACCGGCGAUUUCCGAAUGGGGAAACCCAGUGUGUUUCGACACACUAUCAUUAACUGAAUCCAUAGGUUAAUGAGGCGAACCGGGGGAACUGAAACAUCUAAGUACCCCGAGGAAAAGAAAUCAACCGAGAUUCCCCCAGUAGCGGCGAGCGAACGGGGAGCAGCCCAGAGCCUGAAUCAGUGUGUGUGUUAGUGGAAGCGUCUGGAAAGGCGCGCGAUACAGGGUGACAGCCCCGUACACAAAAAUGCACAUGCUGUGAGCUCGAUGAGUAGGGCGGGACACGUGGUAUCCUGUCUGAAUAUGGGGGGACCAUCCUCCAAGGCUAAAUACUCCUGACUGACCGAUAGUGAACCAGUACCGUGAGGGAAAGGCGAAAAGAACCCCGGCGAGGGGAGUGAAAAAGAACCUGAAACCGUGUACGUACAAGCAGUGGGAGCCUCUCUUUAUGGGGGGUGACUGCGUACCUUUUGUAUAAUGGGUCAGCGACUUAUAUUCUGUAGCAAGGUUAACCGAAUAGGGGAGCCGAAGGGAAACCGAGUCUUAACUGGGCGUUAAGUUGCAGGGUAUAGACCCGAAACCCGGUGAUCUAGCCAUGGGCAGGUUGAAGGUUGGGUAACACUAACUGGAGGACCGAACCGACUAAUGUUGAAAAAUUAGCGGAUGACUUGUGGCUGGGGGUGAAAGGCCAAUCAAACCGGGAGAUAGCUGGUUCUCCCCGAAAGCUAUUUAGGUAGCGCCUCGUGAAUUCAUCUCCGGGGGUAGAGCACUGUUUCGGCAAGGGGGUCAUCCCGACUUACCAACCCGAUGCAAACUGCGAAUACCGGAGAAUGUUAUCACGGGAGACACACGGCGGGUGCUAACGUCCGUCGUGAAGAGGGAAACAACCCAGACCGCCAGCUAAGGUCCCAAAGUCAUGGUUAAGUGGGAAACGAUGUGGGAAGGCCCAGACAGCCAGGAUGUUGGCUUAGAAGCAGCCAUCAUUUAAAGAAAGCGUAAUAGCUCACUGGUCGAGUCGGCCUGCGCGGAAGAUGUAACGGGGCUAAACCAUGCACCGAAGCUGCGGCAGCGACGCUUAUGCGUUGUUGGGUAGGGGAGCGUUCUGUAAGCCUGUGAAGGUGUGCUGUGAGGCAUGCUGGAGGUAUCAGAAGUGCGAAUGCUGACAUAAGUAACGAUAAAGCGGGUGAAAAGCCCGCUCGCCGGAAGACCAAGGGUUCCUGUCCAACGUUAAUCGGGGCAGGGUGAGUCGACCCCUAAGGCGAGGCCGAAAGGCGUAGUCGAUGGGAAACAGGUUAAUAUUCCUGUACUUGGUGUUACUGCGAAGGGGGGACGGAGAAGGCUAUGUUGGCCGGGCGACGGUUGUCCCGGUUUAAGCGUGUAGGCUGGUUUUCCAGGCAAAUCCGGAAAAUCAAGGCUGAGGCGUGAUGACGAGGCACUACGGUGCUGAAGCAACAAAUGCCCUGCUUCCAGGAAAAGCCUCUAAGCAUCAGGUAACAUCAAAUCGUACCCCAAACCGACACAGGUGGUCAGGUAGAGAAUACCAAGGCGCUUGAGAGAACUCGGGUGAAGGAACUAGGCAAAAUGGUGCCGUAACUUCGGGAGAAGGCACGCUGAUAUGUAGGUGAAGUCCCUCGCGGAUGGAGCUGAAAUCAGUCGAAGAUACCAGCUGGCUGCAACUGUUUAUUAAAAACACAGCACUGUGCAAACACGAAAGUGGACGUAUACGGUGUGACGCCUGCCCGGUGCCGGAAGGUUAAUUGAUGGGGUUAGCGCAAGCGAAGCUCUUGAUCGAAGCCCCGGUAAACGGCGGCCGUAACUAUAACGGUCCUAAGGUAGCGAAAUUCCUUGUCGGGUAAGUUCCGACCUGCACGAAUGGCGUAAUGAUGGCCAGGCUGUCUCCACCCGAGACUCAGUGAAAUUGAACUCGCUGUGAAGAUGCAGUGUACCCGCGGCAAGACGGAAAGACCCCGUGAACCUUUACUAUAGCUUGACACUGAACAUUGAGCCUUGAUGUGUAGGAUAGGUGGGAGGCUUUGAAGUGUGGACGCCAGUCUGCAUGGAGCCGACCUUGAAAUACCACCCUUUAAUGUUUGAUGUUCUAACGUGGACCCGUGAUCCGGGUUGCGGACAGUGUCUGGUGGGUAGUUUGACUGGGGCGGUCUCCUCCUAAAGAGUAACGGAGGAGCACGAAGGUUGGCUAAUCCUGGUCGGACAUCAGGAGGUUAGUGCAAUGGCAUAAGCCAGCUUGACUGCGAGCGUGACGGCGCGAGCAGGUGCGAAAGCAGGUCAUAGUGAUCCGGUGGUUCUGAAUGGAAGGGCCAUCGCUCAACGGAUAAAAGGUACUCCGGGGAUAACAGGCUGAUACCGCCCAAGAGUUCAUAUCGACGGCGGUGUUUGGCACCUCGAUGUCGGCUCAUCACAUCCUGGGGCUGAAGUAGGUCCCAAGGGUAUGGCUGUUCGCCAUUUAAAGUGGUACGCGAGCUGGGUUUAGAACGUCGUGAGACAGUUCGGUCCCUAUCUGCCGUGGGCGCUGGAGAACUGAGGGGGGCUGCUCCUAGUACGAGAGGACCGGAGUGGACGCAUCACUGGUGUUCGGGUUGUCAUGCCAAUGGCACUGCCCGGUAGCUAAAUGCGGAAGAGAUAAGUGCUGAAAGCAUCUAAGCACGAAACUUGCCCCGAGAUGAGUUCUCCCUGACCCUUUAAGGGUCCUGAAGGAACGUUGAAGACGACGACGUUGAUAGGCCGGGUGUGUAAGCGCAGCGAUGCGUUGAGCUAACCGGUACUAAUGAACCGUGAGGCUUAACCUUACAACGCCGAAGGUGUUU